rnacentral:rRNA from 1 species
GAUGAACGCUGGCGGCGUGCCUAAUACAUGCAAGUCGAGCGAACGGACGAGAAGCUUGCUUCUCUGAUGUUAGCGGCGGACGGGUGAGUAACACGUGGAUAACCUACCUAUAAGGCUGGGAUAACUUCGGGAAACCGGAGCUAAUACCGGAUAAUAUUUUGAACCGCAUGGUUCAAAAGUGAAAGACGGUCUUGCUGUCACUUAUAGAUGGAUCCGCGCUGCAUUAGCUAGUUGGUAAGGUAACGGCUUGCCAAGGCAACGAUGCAUAGCCGACCUGAGAGGGUGAUCGGCCACACUGGAACUGAGACACGGUCCAGACUCCUACGGGAGGCAGCAGUAGGGAAUCUUCCGCAAUGGGCGAAAGCCUGACGGAGCAACGCCGCGUGAGUGAUGAAGGUCUUCGGAUCGUAAAACUCUGUUAUUAGGGAAGAACAUAUGUGUAAGUAACUGUGCACAUCUUGACGGUACCUAAUCAGAAAGCCACGGCUAACUACGUG